rnacentral:lncRNA from 1 species
ACACACCCACUAAAAAUCUUCUUCUUCGACCAGUUCCACUAGUUGCUCUAGACGAAUUGCUUAUGGUAGAAGAUGAAGAUUAAAAUCAGAGAAUAAGGGAUCGUCUAUGUAAUAAUUCUCAUUGAAUCGAGUAUUGACUUUUUUUUUUUUUUUUGAAUCAACUAUGUAAUAAUCGUUGUACUUACUUGGACAUCAAGGAGUACAUGUUGAGAGAUGCACCAAACUGUGUUGUUUAUGUAUCUUUGUACCCUGUUAAGAAACACGUCCAAAUAAGUCAUCAUAAUUAAAACCAUUAUCUGACUUUACAGGUUUAUCAAUAUAAUGGAUGAUAAACAUUACAUCCAUGUUAGCAAGCACCAUGUCAAAAGUCUCUCCAAACUUGGUGGUAUAUGUCUUCCACGGGUGAAUGAUUUUUCCAUGAUCUCUUGUAGGGCUUGAUUUCUUGGAAGAAUGCGAAAGCUGAAGACAUAUUUAUUGAUCAAGAUCUUAUUGAGUAUGUCAAGAUAAAAUAUACCAUUAUAAAGUACCUUAUAUUGGUCUAUUCUAUCAUGUUGGUCUAUAAAGUACCUUAUAAAAUACCUUAUAAAGUACCUUAUAAAGUACCUUAUAUUGGUCUAUUCUAUAUAUACGGGGGAUGUUCAAAUAGAUUAGCAUUAUUUAUAUUGUUAGCUUCCCUUGUAAGCUUAUCUCUUAUCCCACUUAUUUAUAUGUGUGGUUGUAAACCUAAUGAUGUAAGAAUAGUAAUUCUCUCUCUUUUGUAUUCUUGGUCACUACUCAUCUUCUCUCCCAAUCUCUUUCUUAUUCUUG